rnacentral:rRNA from 1 species
AGCGAACGCUGGCGGCAGGCCUAACACAUGCAAGUCGAACGGACCCUUCGGGGUUAGUGGCGGACGGGUGAGUAACACGUGGGAACGUGCCUUUAGGUUCGGAAUAGCUCCUGGAAACGGGUGGUAAUGCCGAAUGUGCCCUUCGGGGGAAAGAUUUAUCGCCUUUAGAGCGGCCCGCGUCUGAUUAGCUAGUUGGUGGGGUAAUGGCCCACCAAGGCUACGAUCAGUAGCUGGUCUGAGAGGAUGACCAGCCACAUUGGGACUGAGACACGGCCCAAACUCCUACGGGAGGCAGCAGUGGGGAAUCUUGCGCAAUGGGCGAAAGCCUGACGCAGCCAUGCCGCGUGUAUGAUGAAGGUCUUAGGAUUGUAAAAUACUUUCACCGGUGAAGAUAAUGACUGUAGCCGGAGAAGAAGCCCCGGCUAACUUCGUGCCAGCAGCCGCCGCGGUAA